CCUCUCUGGCUCAGUUCACUUUGCAGAGUGUACAAGUUAGGCUUGUCACAUAGAGCCCUCAAGGUACUAAAACUGGCUCAAAGAAUGUUAAUACAAUUGAGAGGGGGGAGAUUGAAAAAUGAGCCAAAAGACAGAGAAAGAGCUAUUUCAACACAAGUCAUCUUCAAGGAGUUUGUAAAUAAAAAGAAAGAGAGAGAGAGAAGAGAAAAGAAAAGAAAAGAAAAGAAAGAAAAGCAGACCUCAGAACCUCUGAGGAUGCCUGCCAGAGAUGCAGGUGAAAUGUCAGGAGAGAAUGCUUCUGGGACAUGGCCAUACAGCCCGAAAAACUUACAACAACCCUGUGUGGAAAGGGCCUUGCAGUAUGCUGAAGGAAGGGAAUCUCCAUAUCUCGAUAAUCUCACAUCCUCCUUGUGGACUACCAUAGGCAUCUAGUAGGACACCGUGGGGAACAGAAUAAAGGACUACAUCUGCCUUGUAUGUGAUUUUCCUACUUCUUUUUUAUUUCAGUUGUUUUAUCUGGUGAAAAUGUAAAUAAAGUUGACUGAAAAAGAAAUAA